rnacentral:rRNA from 1 species
UACGAAGGGGGCUAGCGUUGUUCGGAAUCACUGGGCGUAAAGGGCGCGUAGGCGGCUUUGUCAGUCGGGGGUGAAAGCCUGUGGCUCAACCACAGAAUUGCCUUCGAUACUGCAUGGCUUGAGACCGGAAGAGGUUAGUGGAACUGCGAGUGUAGAGGUGAAAUUCGUAGAUAUUCGCAAGAACACCAGUGGCGAAGGCGGCUUACUGGUCCGGUUCUGACGCUGAGGAGCGAAAGUGUGGGGAGCGAACAGG